rnacentral:rRNA from 1 species
AUACCACCCUGAAUAUGCCUGAUCUCUUCUGAUCUCAGAAGCUAAGCAGGGUCAGGCCUGGUUAGUACUUGGAAGGGAGA